UCGUAACAAGGUCUCCGUUGGUGAACCAGCGGAGGGAUCAUUACUGAGUUUACGCUCUAUAACCCUUUGUGAACAUACCUAUAACUGUUGCUUCGGCGGGUAGGGUCUCCGCGACCCUCCCGGCCUCCCGCCUCCGGGCGGGUCGGCGCCCGCCGGAGGAUAACCAAACUCUGAUUUAACGACGUUUCUUCUGAGUGGUACAAGCAAAUAAUCAAAACUUUUAACAACGGAUCUCUUGGUUCUGGCAUCGAUGAAGAACGCAGCGAAAUGCGAUAAGUAAUGUGAAUUGCAGAAUUCAGUGAAUCAUCGAAUCUUUGAACGCACAUUGCGCCCGCCAGCAUUCUGGCGGGCAUGCCUGUUCGAGCGUCAUUUCAACCCUCAAGCUCUGCUUGGUGUUGGGGCCCUACAGCUGAUGUAGGCCCUCAAAGGUAGUGGCGGACCCUCUCGGAGCCUCCUUUGCGUAGUAACUUUACGUCUCGCACUGGGAUCCGGAGGGACUCUUGCCGUAAAACCCCCAAUUUUCCAAAGGUUGACCUCGGAU
rnacentral:rRNA from 1 species